GCGGGAGUAGUUCAACUCUCAGAACAUUUUCCUUCCCGGAAAAAGGUAUAGGUGCAAAUCCUAUCUUCCGCUCCA
rnacentral:tRNA from 3 species